rnacentral:rRNA from 1 species
CCUACGAGCGGCAGCAGUGAGGAAUAUUGGUCCAUGGGCGCAAGCCUGAACCAGCCAAGUCGCGUGCAGGAAGACGGCUCUAUGAGUUGUAAACUGCUUUUGUACGAGGGUAAACGCAGAUACGCGUAUCUGUCUGAACUUAUCGUACGAAUAAGUAUCGGCUAACUCCGUACCAGCAGCCACGGUAAUACGGAGGAUUCAAGCGUUAUCCGGAUUUAUUUGGUUUAAAGGGUGCGUAGGCUGUCGGAUAAGUUAGAGGUUCAAUCCCGAGGCUCAAAUUCGGAAUUGCAUCUGAUACUGUUCGGCUAGAGAGUAGUUGCGGUAGGCGGAAUGUAUGGGGUAGCGGUGAAAUGCUUAGAGAUCAUACAGAACACCGAUUGCGAAGGCAGCUUACCAAGCUACUUCUGACGUUGAGGCACGAAAGCGUGGGGAGCAAACAGGAUUAGAUACCCUGGUAGUC